rnacentral:rRNA from 1 species
GCCUGAUGGAGGGGGAUAACUACUGGAAACGGUAGCUAAUACCGCAUAACGUCGCAAGACCAAAGAGGGGGACCUUCGGGCCUCUUGCCAUCGGAUGUGCCCAGAUGGGAUUAGCUAGUAGGUGGGGUAACGGCUCACCUAGGCGACGAUCCCUAGCUGGUCUGAGAGGAUGACCAGCCACACUGGAACUGAGACACGGUCCAGACUCCUACGGGAGGCAGCAGUGGGGAAUAUUGCACAAUGGGCGCAAGCCUGAUGCAGCCAUGCCGCGUGUAUGAAGAAGGCCUUCGGGUUGUAAAGUACUUUCAGCGGGGAGGAAGGGAGUAAAGUUAAUACCUUUGCUCAUUGACGUUACCCGCAGAAGAAGCACCGGCUAACUCCGUGCCAGCAGCCGCGGUAAUACGGAGGGUGCAAGCGUUAAUCGGAAUUACUGGGCGUAAAGCGCACGCAGGCGGUUUGUUAAGUCAGAUGUGAAAUCCCCGGGCUCAACCUGGGAACUGCAUCUGAUACUGGCAAGCUUGAGUCUCGUAGAGGGGGGUAGAAUUCCAGGUGUAGCGGUGAAAUGCGUAGAGAUCUGGAGGAAUACCGGUGGCGAAGGCGGCCCCCUGGACGAAGACUGACGCUCAGGUGCGGAAGCGUGGGGAGCAAACAGGACUAGAUACCCCUGGUAGUCCACGCCGUAAACGAUGUCGACUUGGAGGUUGUGCCCUUGAGGCGUGGCUUCCGGAGCUAACGCGUUAAGUCGACCGCCUGGGGAGUACGGCCGCAAGGUUAAAACUCAAAUGAAUUGACGAGGGCCCGCACAAGCGGUGGAGCAUGUGGUUUAAUUCGAUGCAACGCGAAGAACCUUACCUGGUCUUGACAUCCACGGAAGUUUUCAGAGAUGAGAAUGUGCCUUCGGGAACCGUGAGACAGGUGCUGCAUGGCUGUCGUCAGCUCGUGUUGUGAAAUGUUGGGUUAAGUCCCGCAACGAGCGCAACCCUUACCCUUUGUUGCCAGCGGUCCGGCCGGGAACUCAAAGGAGACUGCCAGUGAUAAACUGGAGGAAGGUGGGGAUGACGUCAAGUCAUCAUGGCCCUUACGACCCGGGCUACACACGUGCUACAAUGGCGCAUACAAAGAGAAGCGACCUCGCGAGAGCAAGCGGACCUCAUAAAGUGCGUCGUAGUCCGGAUUGGAGUCUGCAACUCGACUCCAUGAAGUCGGAAUCGCUAGUAAUCGUGGAUCAGAAUGCCACGGUGAAUACGUUCCCGGGCCUUGUACACACCGCCCGUCACACCAUGGGAGUGGGUUGCAAAAGAAGUAGGUAGCUUAACCUUCGGGAGGGCGCUUACCACUUUGUGAUUCAUGACUGGGGUGAAGUCGGAACAAGGUAACCGUAGGGGAACCUGCGGUUG